UCUCCGUUGGUGAACCAGCGGAGGGAUCAUUACCGAGUUUACAACUCCCAAACCCCUGUGAACAUACCUAUCGUUGCCUCGGCGGUGCCCGCUCCGGCGGCCCGCCAGAGGACCCCCAAACUCUUGUUUUAUACAGUAUCUUCUGAGUAACACGAUUAAAUAAAUCAAAAUUUUCAACAACGGAUCUCUUGGUUCUG
rnacentral:misc_RNA from 1 species